CAACAUAUCAGCCAAGACAAGUCACUUGUGGUCUGAUUCACCUCCACUCAGCUGGCCGGCCUGUUUGACUUGGACUUGAGCAAGAAUGCACGGAGACGUGACCUGAAUCCCUGGCUGAUGAGCGACUUCAGUGAUCCCCUGAGUGAAAUCCCGCCCAAAAGAAAAGGGAGCAAAGCUUCUACACCUGAAGCUGGAACCAGAACAUGUUUCACCAGAUUCUAAAACUUAAGUGUGACUUUAUGAGCAAGUGGAAGAUGCUGUUUAGAAUAAACCACCAGAAUGUUUCAACACUCAGUUUGAGGUUCUCCUGUUUACCUGCUGUGAUUUUACACAUUUUGAAUAAGUGGGUGAGGUGAAGGGACCACAAUGGUGGAGGAGGACGUUGACAUUUGUGACGAUUUUCAACGACAAAACACCAGUAGCUCAGUGUGUGAAGCCUGGUGCAGCAGAUCUUCAGUUGGUUAUGUCCCUGCUCUUUACAGAGGAGCGAGGCGGGCUCCUCUCAGGUGUGUGUGUUGACAGAUAAACACACAUGAACACAAACCUGACGAUGAAGCAGAUUCUCAGAGCUCAUCCUCUGACCAAAACUGUCCUGGAAACACACAAACACAGAGAC